rnacentral:ncRNA from 1 species
AAAUAAAAAUUAAUUAUAGUUUAAAAAAUUUAUUAUUUAUUUAUUUUACAUAUAAAUUUUGGUAUAAAAAAUUAAUUAUUUAAAAAAUAAUUAAUUUAUUUUAAAUAGUAAUUAUUAUUAAAAAUUUAAGAAAUUAAGAUUUAGAUAUAUAAAAAUUAAUAACAAAUUUUGUGCCAGCAGUUGCGGUUAUACAAAAAUUAAAUUAAAUUUUAUUAGUUUUAUAUAGUUAAUAAAUAAAUAAUAAAUUUAAUUUAAAAUUUUAAAUUAUAAAGUGAAAUUUUAAUUUAAUUAAAAAAUUUAUAAAUAUUUAUAAUCUAUUAAAUUAUAAAUAUAAACUAGGAUUAGAUACCCUAUUAUUAAUAACUUAAAUUUAUAAUUCUAAAAUAGUAAAUAAUUAUUUAUUUAAACUUAAAUAAUUUGGCGGUAUUUUAGUUUAUUUAGAGGAAUCUGUCUAAUAAUUGAUAAUCCACGAAUAAAUUUACUUAAUUUAUAAUUUUGUAUAUCGUUGUUAAAAAAAUAUUUUUUAGUAAUUAAAAAUAUUUAAAAAUUUUAAAUAAAAAUUAAAUCAGAUCAAGAUGCAGAUAAUAAUUAAGAAUAUGAUGGAUUACAAUAAAUUUAUUUAAUGUUGAAUAUAAAAAUUGAAAAAUUUUAUUGAAAUUGGAUUUAAAUGUAAUUUUAUUUAAUUUAUUAAAAUGAUUAAAAAUUAAAAUAUGUACAUAUUGCCCGUCGCUUUCAUAUAUAAAUUGAAAUAAGUCGUAACAAAGUAGAGAUACUGGAAAGUGUUUCUAGAAAGAA